rnacentral:rRNA from 1 species
UACGAAGGGGGCUAGCGUUGCUCGGAAUCACUGGGCGUAAAGGGCGCGUAGGCGGCGCGGUAAGUCGGGUGUGAAAUCUUGGAGCUUAACUCCGAAACUGCAUUCGAUACUGGCGUGCUUGAGGACUGGAGAGGAGACUGGAAUUCAUGGUGUAGCAGUGAAAUGCGUAGAGAUCAUGAGGAAGACCAGUGGCGAAGGCGGGUCUCUGGACAGUUCCUGACACUGAGACACGAAGGCCAGGGGAGCAAACGGG